rnacentral:sRNA from 1 species
CUGGGGCCCUUUGCCACUCCCUCGGGAAGAAGAGCCGAGACCUUAGUUCCCGGCAGCCCUUGCGGGACACAGGUGAGUCCUGGCUGCGCGCGCGGCCCCUCCUCCCCGGCGCCUCCCAGAUGGGCAGCAGGAGGCUCCGGAGGUGGCGCCCAGGCUCUGAGCUGCCCUAGGUCUGCAGAGACAUGGCCCAGCCACUGGCCUUCAUCCUCGAUGUCCCUGAGACCCCAGGGGACCAGGGCCAGGACCCCAGCCCCUAUGAUGAAAGCGAAGUGCACGACUCCUUCCAGCAGCUCAUCCAGGAGCAGAGCCGGUGUGCGGCCCAGGAGGGGCUGGAGCUGCAGCAGAGAGAGCGGGAGGCCACAGGAAGUGGCCAGCAGACACUCUGGCGCCCCGAGGGCACCCAGAGCACAGCCACACUCCGCAUCCUGGCCAGCAUGCCCAGCCGCACCAUUGGCCGCAGCCGAGGUGCCAUCAUCUCCCAGUACUACAACCGCACGGUGCAGCUUCGGCGCAGGAGCAGCCGGCCCCUGCUUGGGAACUUUGUCCGCUCCGCUCGGCCCAGCCUCCGCCUGUACGACCUGGAGCUGGACCCCAUGGCCCGGGAGGAGGAGGAGAAGCAGAGCCUCCUGGUGAAGGAGCUCCAGAGCCUGGCGGUGGCACAGCGGGACCACAUGCUGCGAGGGAUGCCCUUAAGCCUGGCUGAGAAACGCAGCCUGCGAGAGAAGAGCAGGACCCUGAGGGGGAAGUGGAGGGGCCAGCCGGGCAGCGGCGGGGUCUGCUCCUGCUGUGGCCAGCUCAGAUAUGCCUGCGUGCUGGCCUUGCACAGCCUGGGGCUGGCGCUGCUCUCCGCCCUGCAGGCCCUGACGCCGUGGCGCUACGCCCUGAAGCGCAUCGGGGGCCAGUUCGGCUCCAGCGUGCUCUCCUACUUCCUCUUUCUCAAGACCCUGCUGGCUUUCAACGCCCUCCUGCUGCUGCUGCUUGUGGCCUUCAUCACGGGCCCGCAGGUCGCCUUCCCACCCGCCCUGCUGGGCCCUGUCCCCGUCUGCACAGGCCUGGAGCUCCUCACAGGCGCGGGUUGCUUCACCCACACCGUCAUGUACUACGGCCACUACAGUAAUGCCACGCUGAACCAGCCAUGUGGCAGCCCCCUGGAUGGCAGCCAGUGCACACCCAGGGCGGGUGGCCUGCCCUACAACAUGCCCCUGGCCUACCUCUCCACUGUGGGCGUGAGCUUCUUUGUCACCUGCAUCACCCUGGUGUACAGCAUGGCUCACUCUUUCGGGGAGAGCUACCGGGUGGGGAGCACCUCUGGCAUCCACGCCAUCACCGUCUUCUGCUCCUGGGACUACAAGGUGACGCAGAAGCGGGCCUCCCGCCUCCAGCAGGACAAUAUUCGCACCCGGCUGAAGGAGCUGCUGGCCGAGUGGCAGCUGCGGCAGAGCCCCAGGAGUGUGUGUGGGACGCUGCGGCAGGCGGCUGUGCUGGGGCUUGUGUGGCUGCUGUGUCUGGGGACCGCGCUGGGCUGCGCCGUGGCCGUUCACGUCUUCUCGGAGUUCAUGAUCCAGAGUCCAGAGGCUGCUGGCCAGGAGGCUGCGCUGCUGGUCCUGCCCCUGGUGGUUGGCCUCCUCAACCUGGGGGCCCCCUACCUGUGCCGUGUCCUGGCCGCCCUGGAGCCGCAUGACUCCCCAGUACUGGAAGUGUACGUGGCCAUCUGCAGGAACCUCAUCCUCAAGCUGGCCAUCCUGGGGACACUGUGCUACCACUGGCUGGACCACAGGGUGGGCGUCCUGCAGGGCCAGUGCUGGGAGGACUUCGUGGGCCAGGAGCUGUACCGGUUCCUGGUGAUGGACUUCGUCCUCAUGUUGCUGGACACGCUUUUUGGGGAACUGGUGUGGAGGUGAGGGGGUCCUGGGCAGGCUGGGUGGGGAGUGUUCUCCCCUUAGUGGCUGGGACGUGUGGCCGGGAGGUUCUCAGGCCUGGACCUUUCACAUUGGGGCCCUGUGUCUCCACCCUUCAGAGGAAGACUCAGGAAAUAGAACUGAACUCAUUUUUAGAUUGUAAAGGAAAACAGGUUUCAAAGUGAUGUGUAUGGCCAGGCGUGGUGGCUUAUGCCUGUACUCCCAGCACUUUGGGAGGCUGAGGUGAGUGGAUCACCUGAGGUCAGGAGUUUGAGACCAGCCUGGCCAACAUGGCAAAACCCCGUCUCUACUAAAAAUACAAAAAUUAGCAGGGCGUGGUGGCGCGCACCAGUAGUCCCAGCUACUCGGGAGGCAGAGGCAUGAGAAUCACUUGAACCUGGGAAGCAGAGGUUGUAGUGAGCUGAGAUCGCGCCUCUGCACUCCAGCCUGGGUGACAGAGCAAGACUGUGUUGC